UACGAAGGGGGCUAGCGUUGCUCGGAAUCACUGGGCGUAAAGCGCACGUAGGCGGAUUGCUAAGUCAGGGGUGAAAUCCCAAAGCUUAACUUUGGAACUGCGUCGGAUACUGGAUGGCUUGAAUUCGGGAGAGGGAUGCAGAAUUCCAGGUGUAGCGGUGAAAUGCGUAGAUAUCUGGAGGAAUACCGGUGGCGAAGGCGGCAUCCUGGACCGACAUUGACGCUGAGGAGCGAAAGCUAGGGGAGCAAACGGG
rnacentral:rRNA from 1 species